rnacentral:lncRNA from 1 species
AGUGGCCGGGUGUAUGUCCCCUCAGCGGUCCAGCAUGUAGGUUGUGUGGUGUUGCUUUUCGAGGUGGUUUGUGAUGCUUGACAUACAGCUCCUAAAGCCUUGGAAUCUGUGGAGUGACAACAUCUUUUGUGUGCUAAUGAGAUGACUGGGGGCUGGGGACGCCUGGACAGCCUCAGGAUGGAGCAGGUCACCAGAGGAACCAGCCAUGUGCAUAGAGGGUUGGAACUUGUGGUCCCAUCCCC